UGCGUAGGCGGUCCCGCAAGUCCGCUGUGAAAGCCCCGGGCUUAACCUGGGAAUGGCAGUGGAAACUAGGGGACUUGAAUCUGGCAGAGGGGGUGGAAUGCCACGUGUAGCAGUGAAAUGCGUAGAUAUGUGGCGGAACACCGAUGGCGAAGGCAGCCCCCUGGGCUGAGAUUGACGCUCAGGCACGAAAGCGUGGGGAGCAAACAGGAUUAGAUACCCUGGUAGUCCACGCCCUAAACGAUGAUCACUAGGUGUUGGGGAAGCGAUUUCUCAGUACCGCAGCUAACGCGUGAAGUGAUCCGCCUGGGGAGUACGGUCGCAAGAUUAAA
rnacentral:rRNA from 1 species